CCCCUCUCAGGGUCGCAUCUGGAGAGUUUCCAGUACUCUACCAGUCUUGACUAUGGGAGGGAGAGUCAAGCAGAGGCAUACCCAUUCUAUUCCUAGCUUGGCCAGUGGCUAGCGAGUGGAAGGAAAUCUGUAACAUGU
rnacentral:snoRNA from 1 species